CAUUGGCAAGGCCCUGCCUGCUGUCUACUUCCUCCCGAACGCCAACAUCGCGGUUGCAGGCUCCUUUGCUCGGCUCUUGUUCUACCCACUCUUCUAUGGCUGCCUGCACGGCCCCAGCUUCUUCCGCACCGAGAUCCCAGUCACCAUACUGACAUGCCUGCUGGGCCUCACCAACGGGUACCUGACUUGCAUCCUCAUGACGCUCGCGCCCAAGGCCGUGCCCAUCCACCACUCGGAGACCGCCGGGAUUGUGAUAGUGCUGUUCCUUGUGGUUGGUCUUGUCGUCGGUUCGUUUGUGUCUUGGUUCUGG
rnacentral:lncRNA from 1 species